ACAGGAAAGAUCACAGGAAUAACUCCUCCAAUGUCUUCGAUGAUGGAGCUCCUGGAAAGGUGUGAUGAUUCACAGCUGCUGGAUUUGACAAAUCAUUACUGCCAGAGGCUGGAAGAGGGAAUUCAAGAGAAGCGGAG